rnacentral:rRNA from 1 species
AUUGAACGCUGGCGGCAGGCUUAACACAUGCAAGUCGAGCGGGGUGAUGGUGCUUGCACUAUCACUUAGCGGCGGACGGGUGAGUAAUGCUUAGGAACCUGCCUAUUAGUGGGGGACAACAUCUCGAAAGGGAUGCUAAUACCGCAUACGUCCUACGGGAGAAAGCAGGGGAUCACUUGUGACCUUGCGCUAAUAGAUGAGCCUAAGUCGGAUUAGCUAGUUGGUGGGGUAAAGGCCUACCAAGGCGACGAUCUGUAGCGGGUCUGAGAGGAUGAUCCGCCACACUGGGACUGAGACACGGCCCAGACUCCUACGGGAGGUAGCAGUGGGGAAUAUUGGACAAUGGGGGGAACCCUGAUCCAGCCAUGCCGCGUGUGUGAAGAAGGCCUUAUGGUUGUAAAGCACUUUAAGCGAGGAGGAGGCUCUUUUGGUUAAUACCCAAGAUGAGUGGACGUUACUCGCAGAAUAAGCACCGGCUAACUCUGUGCCAGCAGCCGCCGUAA